rnacentral:misc_RNA from 1 species
UACAUCACAGCUCAAAAAAUUGUAACACUAUGGCUUCUGUUCUUGUCUUAUAUUUCAUCCUUUUCUCUACACUCUUCAGCAGUCUUAAUGGCAAAUUCUCUGAGCAAUUCCCUUUAGCCAUAUCCACAAAACGAAUGGAGAAAAUGACUCGCCUGAACUUCUACUUCCAUGACGUCCUAAGUGGAAGUAGCCCAACAGCCAUCCUGAUUGCUGGGCCAUCGAGUAAGAUGGCCAAUAAAUUUGGCAGUACUUUCAUGAUUGAUGAUCCCUUGACGGAAGGACCAGAACCUACUUCAAAGCUUGUGGGACGAGCACAGGGAAUGUACAGUUUGGCCUCACAACAUGAUAUUGGGUUGCUGAUGGUUAUGGACUUUGCAUUUGUGGAGGGUAUGUAUAAUGGCAGUACCCUAAGCAUUCUUGGCCGUAAUCCUGUUCUCAAUACGGUGAGGGAAAUGCCGAUAGUUGGAGGCAGCGGACUUUUCAGGUAUGCUCGAGGCUACGCAUUGGCAAGGACAGUGUCAGCUGACCAGAAGACAGGAAAUGCUGUCGUUGAAUACAAUAUUUCUGUUGUGCACUUCUGAAUGUUUUGUACAAUCUGUGGUGCUUGCAUUUGUUCCUCUCGUUUGUUUCUUUUAUUCGGGAAUAUUGUGAAAAGGAAAGUGUUUUGAUUUUCUUAAGCAAUGUUGUUCCAGAGUUCAGAUUUCAGAAUGUUAGUAUUCCAUACUAUGGUUUGAGGCUACUGUUUUUGAGUUUCUCUUGGACAAUAAAUGAUUAUCA